UGUGGGCAGGCCUGGUGUUUAGUCGGGGGUCGGGGCUUCAGAUCUGAGAGCUUUUCCUCUGGGCUGAGGAAGAGGAGGACGUCUGUUGUUCUCUGGCAGCUGCUUUCUCUUUGGGACCAUUCUUCACUUUCUAUCAAACGCAUGGACUCUGUGUGAAUCUGCUCCGAAACGUUGCUUCCUCUCCUCAGAUCUAUCUUUACUGUGUACUUUACUUUAAAAAGACUCUGGUCGAAUGUCUCUAACGGUAGAGGACCUGACCGGAGGAGUGAUGACGGAGUUUCAGGAGAAGCUGAGGGCGCAGCACGAGGACUCGAUGCACCGCGAGCUGGAGGCGCUGCUCGGCACCGCCAACAAGGCCGAGGCCGAGAUCUCCAGGAAAGACUUUGAGGGCUUCAAGAAUCUCUUCCACAGAUUCCUGCAGGUCAAAGGUCCCGCGGUGGACUGGG